UACGGAGGGUGCAAGCGUUAUCCGGAUUCACUGGGUUUAAAGGGUGCGUAGGUGGGUAAGUAAGUCCGUGGUGAAAUCUCUGAGCUUAACUCAGAAACUGCCGUGGAUACUAUUUGCCUUGAAUAUUGUGGAGGUGAGCGGAAUAUGUCAUGUAGCGGUGAAAUGCUUAGAUAUGACAUAGAACACCAAUUGCGAAGGCAGCUCACUACACAAUCAUUGACGCUGAGGCACGAAAGCGUGGGGAUCAAACAGG
rnacentral:rRNA from 1 species